rnacentral:lncRNA from 1 species
AAAAAUCAAAUAUUAGACUAAUAAAUAAAUAAAUAACUGAAAAAUAAAAGAUGCAAAUAAAACAAACAUAAGACAUAAAUAUAGAUAAAAAUAGAAAUAUCAAUGUAUAAAUGUAGUUUAUAUAAUAUUCCAAAUGCGAUAAUGUAAAAUGAGUUAUGUAAAUACGAGAAAUAUAAAAAAAAGAUAAAAUAAGAUGAAAUGGUG